UGGGUCCGUCCCUGACUGUGUUUGCUUUAGCCCAACCCACCUUCUUCCUCCUUUUAUCUUCACUGUGUUCACUCCGUGUCCGACUAAUUCCUCUUCUUCUUUAAUUUUCCCAUAGUUUCUGACAUCUCCAAUUUCCACCAUUUCUUUCUUUUCGCCUGAUUCUGAUAACUGGUAAGUAAAUUCUGAUUUCUUACUUUGAAAUAUACUUUGAUUCUUACUUUGAAAUCUCUUGUAAUCAAUUCUUCUAUUUUUCUAUUCAACUUUGCCAAUUGCGAAUUGUGACUUUAAAUCCGAUUUCUCCUUGAAUUUAGUCAUCAAUCUUGAUUUUGUUAUAAACUUUGAACCUGAUUUCCCUUUACUUUGAAAUCUACUUUGAAAUCUAUUUUUCUAUUCAACUUUGCCAAUUGCGAAUUCUGACUUCAAAUCUGAUUUCUCCUUGAAUUUAGUCAUCAAUCAAAUUUGUAUUUGAUUUUGUGAUGAACUUAUACAAUUUUCGCCGUUUAAUUCUACGUUUUGAAUAACACUACAUUUUGAAUCAACCCCCUCAAUCCAUCUCACCAUUGUCAAUCAAUUGGGAUGUAGAAUAUUUUUUUUUUAUUUCUAUUUUUUAUUUAAUUUUUUUCCCGACUGGGAAUUUGUAAUGCAAAUAAGCUGAUUUCGUUACUUUGAAAUCUACUUUGUAAUCAAAUUAUCGAAAUUGACAACAACGUUUGCAAAACAUUUCAAUUCUAACAAUGUAUUGCAGAACAUGACAACCAAGUGGAUUUUCUUUACACCCGAUAACAACAAUGAUUUCUCCGGUACCUGAAGCCGGUGACAUGUCCACGUGGCCUUUAAAAAUAGAUGACAUGUCAAUAAAAAAUAAGUAAAAAGACACAUCAUCCUAACAUGUGCACUGCACACGGGGUUUUAGACAUGUGCUCAGCACAUGUCUCCAAACAACAAAACCCAAUCGAAAUAACCUAAGUCCAAAAUAAUUUCUUUGCUAUCAGAUCGAAAUUAUGUCUUCUUCCCCAAACUGAAAACCCUAGUUUUCAAAUUACAAACCCUAGUUCCUUAAUUAUGUCUUCUUCUUCAAUUAAUUCACAUACCCCAAGUUGUCAAUGUAGAGAAGAAGUUGUAAUAAGGAUUUCUACUACUAAUGAGAAUUAUGGAAGGAGAUUUUAUGGUUGUUGGAAAUACCCUAAUAACAAUUGCAACUAUUUUCGCUGGAUUGACCCACCAACACCAUUAAGCAUCGAAAAGAAACUAGAAUAUUGGCAGGACAAAAAUGAAAACUUGGAAUGCAGGAUAACAGCUUUAGAGAAGAAGAACUGGAAGGUUUUGAAGGAAUUGGAGAAAAAAAUGCAGAGACACUGGAAUUGGAAAAAAAGAUGAAGAUGUGUAGAAGGAAGAUGUAUUUUAUUGGUUUUAUUGUAUUUUUUUACAUGUUUUUAUGCAAGUGAUGAUGUUCAUGAUGAAAUAUGUUUGUCUAUCAUGAUAAAGAAGAUGUCGAAUUUUGUUUACUUUUCUUAUUUUGUGAAAGUUCGUGGAGUGCUGAGCACAUGUCUAAAACCCCGCGUGCAGUGCACAUGUUAGGAUGAUGUGUCUUUUUACUUAUUUUUUAUUGACAUGUCAUCUAUUUUUAAAGGCCGCGUGGACAUGUCACCGACUUCAGGUACCGGAGAAAUCAUUGUUGUUAUCGGGUGUAAAGAAAAUCCACUUGGUUGUCAUGUUCUGCAAUACAUUGUUAGAAUUGAAAUGUUUUGCAAACGUUGUUGUCAAUUUCGAUAAUUUGACCUCAAAUUUUCUAAUCAACUUUGCCAACAGGGAUGUAAAAUAUUUAAUUUUAACUUUCAAUUUAUUUUAAAUUUUAUUUUGUGAUCAACUGUUUGACUAAAUCCUAGUUUCUCCUAUAGAACAAUGUCUCAUCAUGGAAGGACAGUGUCUCAUCAUGGAAAGUUCGCAAAAUCGGCGUAGGCAAAAGAGAUCAGAAAUGACUCCUGAACGUCUUGCAUUAGAGAGGUCCCAUGAUCGCACUCAAUGCAAAGAGCGUCUUGCCAACAUGAGUCCACAACAACUCUUCUCACAUAGAGAACAACAACGAAACUAUAACAGGCUACGAGCCCAGAACAUGGUCGACGCUAAAACAACUGCACAAAGAGAAAGACAACGUAUUCUCUCCAGAGAACACAGACUCCGUGGAUGCUCCAGUCAUUAAAGCCAAAUCUAUAUAAAAGAAAAUCAACACAUACUCAAUCAUUCUCAUACCAAGACAACCUGCCUCUCCUUUCAUUACUCAG
rnacentral:lncRNA from 1 species